rfam:Pseudobutyrivibrio xylanivorans DSM 14809 genome assembly, contig: EJ90DRAFT_scaffold00010.10
UUUUGUAGUGAGCCUAGAAAAAUAAAAAGCUGAUUUUGCAAUGUAUAGUCAGCUGCCGCUAGGACGGCGGCAGCAGUGGUCACUUGAAACACGAUGUUGAAUGUGCCACGGUGACUAUACAUACAAAAUCAUGCUUUUUAAAUUUUUCUUGGCAAAUGGAGUAU